CCGGCCCCUAUCCGACAGCAGCCGGCUGCCCUCGAGUGCGCUUUAUCGCCCGUUAAUGCAGAGGCCGCGCUCGAGGACUCGGUUGUCUGUUCCUCCCCGGGGCUGCUGUUGCCUGCAUUUGCCUCAGGUUUGCGUGGGCUGUCUCUGUUCGGCCUCAUUCUCCUAGCGGUGUGGGUGACCAGGGGCUGGUGGACGCUUACUGGCUUUGGACAGGAGCUGCUGCGGAUGAAGUUUAAGAGGCUAGAAAAAGGUAAAGCAGCUGGAGAAGGAAAUCAAGGGGAUUGAGCCGGAAGGUGCCUCCAGCCACAGACGAGAGACAGCUGGCCUUUCUGAGUGAGGAAGGGUCCCUCUGAGUAGUCCUCAGCAGACCAGAUCGCCAGCAUGCACUGCAGGGCCUGUAUGUGUAUCCAAAAGCAUGGUGGAGGACAGUCAAGUGACUGGAGCUGCAGAAGAGGAAGGGAGGGAGAGAGAGAGAAAGAGACAGACAGAGAAAGAAGUGUCUGAACUGGAAAGUUCUGCGGGCAGUGCCGAAAGCAGGA